UACAGAGGUCUCAAGCGUUGUUCGGAUUCAUUGGGCGUAAAGGGUGCGUAGGCGGCGCGGUAAGUCGGGUGUGAAAUCUUGGAGCUUAACUCCGAAACUGCAUUCGAUACUGCCGUGCUUGAGGACUGGAGAGGAGACUGGAAUUUACGGUGUAGCGGUGAAAUGCGUAGAUAUUGUAAGGAAGACCAGUGGCGAAGGCGGGUCUCUGGGACGGUACUGACGCUGAGACGCGAAAGCGUGGGGAGCGAACAGG
rnacentral:rRNA from 1 species